rnacentral:rRNA from 1 species
CCUACGGGCGGCAGCAGUGGGGAAUAUUGGACAAUGGAGGAAACUCUGAUGCAGCAACGCCGCGUGGAGGAUGACACUUUUCGGAGCGUAAACUCCUUUUAUAUAGGAAGAUAAUGACGGUACUAUAUGAAUAAGCACCGGCUAACUCCGUGCCAGCAGCCGCGGUAAUACGGAGGGUGCAAGCGUUACUCGGAAUCACUGGGCGUAAAGAGCGUGUAGGCGGGUUAUUAAGUCAGAAGUGAAAUCCUAUGGCUCAACCAUAGAACUGCUUUUGAAACUGGUAACCUAGAGUAUGGGAGAGGUAGAUGGAAUUUCUGGUGUAGGGGUAAAAUCCGUAGAGAUCAGAAGGAAUACCGAUUGCGAAGGCGAUCUACUGGCCAGCAACUGACGCUGAGGCGCGAAAGCCAGGGGAGCGAACGGGAUUAGAUACCCUAGUAGUC